UCCAGGAGGUCCCUGAUGCAGGCUUACUUUAGGGGUUAAACCAUUCAAGAAUCGUUUAACCUCUAAAUGUGAGCCUGCAUCAGGGAUCUCCUGA